GAGCAUCUGUGUCGGUCUUGGCAUCCUCUAGUGGAUCGUUUCCCCGCUUGAUUGCGUGGAGCGGAACGCUAGACUUUUACUUUGAGGAAAUUAGAGUGUUCACGGCAGGCAAACGCCUUGAAUAUAUUAGCAUGGAAUAAUAACAUAGGACCUUGGUUCUAUUUUGUUUUUUUCUAGAGCUGAGGUAAUGAUUAAUAGGGAUAAUUGGGGGCAUUCGUAUUAACGCGUCAGAGGUG
rnacentral:rRNA from 1 species